GAUGAAGAACGCAGCGAAAUGCGAUAAGUAAUGUGAAUUGCAGAAUUCAGUGAAUCAUCGAAUCUUUGAACGCACCUUGCGCCCUUUGGCUAUUCCGAAGGGCAUGCCUGUUUGAGUAUCAUGAACACCUCAACUCUCAUGGUUUGCCAUGAUGAGCUUGGACUCUGGGGGUCUUGCUGGCCUAUGGUCAGCUCCUCUCAAAUAAAUCAGCUUGCCAGUGUUUGGUGGCAUCACAGGUGUGAUAACUAUCUACGCUUGUGGUUUUCCAUCAGGUAACCUUCAGUGAUGGAGGUUCGCUGGAGCUCAUAAAUGUCCCUCCUCAGCGAGGACAGCUUUUUGAACAUUUGAUCUCAAAUCAGGUAGGACUACCCGCUGAACUUAAGCAUAUCAAUAAGCGGAGGA
rnacentral:misc_RNA from 1 species